GUGACGGUACCUGCAAAAGAAGCACCGGCUAACUAUGUGCCAGCAGCCGCGGUAAUACAUAGGGUGCAAGCGUUGUCCGGAAUUAUUGGGCGUAAAGAGCUCGUAGGUGGUUAGUUACGUCGGGUGUGAAACUCUGGGGCUCAACCCCAGACCUGCACUCGAUACGGGCUAGCUAGAGUUUGGUAGGGGAGACUGGAAUUCCUGGUGUAGCGGUGGAAUGCGCAGAUAUCAGGAGGAACACCAAUGGCGAAGGCAGGUCUCUGGGCCAAUACUGACACUGAGGAGCGAAAGCGCGGGGAGCGAACAGGAUUAGAUACCCUGGUAGUCCGCGCCGUAAACGGUGGGCGCUAGUUGUGGGAACCUUCCACGGUUUCUGCGACGCAGCUAACGCAUUAAGCG
rnacentral:rRNA from 1 species